AGAGUUUGAUCAUGGCUCAGAACGAACGCUGGCGGCGUGCCUAACACAUGCAAGUCGAGCGCGAAUGGAGCAAUCCUAGUAGAGCGGCGCACGGGUGCGUAACACGUGGAUAAUCUGCCUGAGUGCCCGGGAUAACCAGUCGAAAGAUUGGCUAAUACCGGAUAAGCCCACGGUCUCUUCGGAGAUUGAGGGAAAAGGUGGCCUCUGUAUACAAGCUAUCACAUUCAGAUGAGUCCGCGGCCCAUCAGCUAGUUGGCGGGGUAAUGGCCCACCAAGGCAACGACGGGUAGCUGGUCUGAGAGGACGAUCAGCCACACUGGAACUGAGACACGGUCCAGACUCCUACGGGAGGCAGCAGUGGGGAAUUUUGCGCAAUGGGCGAAAGCCUGACGCAGCAACGCCGCGUGUGUGAUGAAGGUCUUCGGAUUGUAAAGCACUUUCGACCGGGACGAAAACCCGAAACCUAAUACGUUUCGGCUUGACGGUACCGGGAGAAGAAGCACCGGCUAACUCUGUGCCAGCAGCCGCGGUAAUACAGAGGGUGCAAGCGUUGUUCGGAAUUAUUGGGCGUAAAGCGCGUGUAGGCGGCGUGGCAAGUCGGGUGUGAAAGCCCUCAGCUCAACUGAGGAAGUGCGCCCGAAACUGCUGUGCUUGAGUGCCGGAGAGGGUGGCGGAAUUCCCCAAGUAGAGGUGAAAUUCGUAGAUAUGGGGAGGAACACCGGUGGCGAAGGCGGCCACCUGGACGGUAACUGACGCUGAGACGCGAAAGCGUGGGGAGCAAACAGGAUUAGAUACCCUAGUAGUCC
rnacentral:rRNA from 1 species